GAGUUUGAUCGUGGCUCAGAUUGAACGCUGGCGGCAUGCCUUACACAUGCAAGUCGAACGGCAGCAUGAUCUAGCUUGCUAGAUUGAUGGCGAGUGGCGAACGGGUGAGUAAUACGUCGGAACGUGCCCUGUAGUGGGGGAUAACUAGUCGAAAGAUUAGCUAAUACCGCAUACGACCUGAGGGUGAAAGUGGGGGACCGCAGGGCCUCAUGCUAUAGGAGCGGCCGAUGUCUGAUUAGCUAGUUGGUGGGUAAAGGCCCACCAAGGCGACGAUCAGUAGCUGGUCUGAGAGGACGAUCAGCCACACUGGGACUGAGACACGGCCCAGACUCCUACGGGAGGCAGCAGUGGGGAAUUUUGGACAAUGGGCGAAAGCCUGAUCCAGCAAUGCCGCGUGUGUGAAGAAGGCCUCGG
rnacentral:rRNA from 1 species